rnacentral:lncRNA from 1 species
GGCAAAUAACACAAUGGACAUUCGACACACUCCCGAAGCUUCCCCCGAAGCGACUCGGCGAGCGCCCGAACAGGGUGACCUCGACACAUAACACACCGCUCGGAAAUACGCGAUUAUGUUGAGACGAGAGAGACAACAAAUCGGAAAUCAUUUACCAGAAUACGUACCGAAAAAACCUUUCGAGACACUGAAUUAUCGGGGUUGCCAGCGCUAUUAUUUAACAGUUUUCAAUUGGCGCUAAGACCGAUGCUUCUAAGUCUUGACAACCCUGAAAACCCGCUUUCUGUAAUAUCCAUCGAGUGAUUCCCUGAAACCAAAACUUCAGCUUUGCUUUUUUGCUUGGCUUGCGAUAUUAUUGCGAUUUUUGCAAAUCACUAUUGAAUUGGUAUUUCGAAAAUAAACUACAUUAUUAUUGUUUAGUGUUGUGUACCAUUUGUUUUUUAAGCGUUUGUAGUGCUUUUAGUGCCAAAAUACUUUAGAAGUCUCCAUUAUAUUCAAGAUUCAAGGAUACCUCGACCGCCUAGGGUAAUAAUGGACCAUAGGAGAUAUCAGAGAUCAGGAGGAAUUUACCACGAUGGGUUUUUGUACAUAACAAGAUCCACGAAGCACAACAUCAGGUAUUUAAUCUGUAGCAAGUACCGACGAUUGGGUUGUAUUGCAUCAGGGAAAAUCCACUUAGAAGAGGGAAAUGUCUUCAUUCCUAUAAAGGUUGAACAUAAUCAUCCUAGAGACGACAACAGAGUUGAAGCAAUGGAUUUUAGAAUUCAG